UUAUCAACCUGAACACUCCAUUUUGCAUUGAUAGGAAAAUACUGUAAUUAUGUAAUGAAUAUGUUUUGCUUAUCAAGAUCAUGUUCUAUGACAGACAUUGUUGCACCAGCAGGAGAUUAUCAGCGACAUGCCCAUGGCCACUGACUUCAAGUCCUGCUGGCCAGAAAUGUUGGAUAUUGGAGAGAUCCAUGCAGAGUUAACUCGUUACCACUAUGCCACUGCAGUUAAAGUUUCUUUCCCAGCUGGACCUCCACUGCGAUGACCUGGUGAAAAUCUUCCAGAAGAGGGGAGGGCACACCGCAAGAAAACUGCAGUCAGUGGAGAUCAUCAGCGACAUGCCCAUGGCCACCGACUUCAAGUCCUGCUGGCCAGAAAUGUUGGAUAUUGGAGAGAUCCAUGCAGAGUUGACGCGUCACCACUGCCACUGCAGUUAAAGUUUCUUUCCCAGCUGGACCGCCAUUGCGAUGACCUGGUGAAAAUUUUCCAGAAGAGGGGAGAGCAAACCGCAAGAAAACUGCAGUCAUUGACAUUUGUGUUGCACCAGCAGGAGAUCAUCAGCGACAUGCCCAUGGCCACCGACUUCAGGUCCUGCUGGCCAGAAAUGUUGGAUAUUGGAGAGGAUUUCACUGCAGCUCAGGUGCAGCUCAGCAAACGGCCAUGGGGAUAAAGCUCUAUGACGAUGGACAAUAUGGACGUUCACAUUGUGUGAGAAGGUGUUGGAAGUUCUUGGUGAUCUUGCCUGUGGCUCUGGCUGUAGUGAGGCUUUUUGUUUUGGAAUUAUCUCGCCCAGAAAAAUCUGUGUUUGAAAGAAGUCUGUAGUGAGGCCUCACACACACUUUACUUUAGUGUGACCUUUACCAUCUAGUAACUUGGCCUGCUUCUUGGAGAUCUUGACUGUGUGGCUCUGGCUUUAGUGACUGUUUGGGCUUUUCUUUUCUUUUCUUUUCUUUUCUUUUCUUUUCUUACAUUUUCAGAAUGGAUGCUAGCCACUCAUCAGUUUUUAUCCAUUUCCAAGUAUUCAUAAUGACUGGGAAUAUUACAAUUCAUACAAGGUGGGAAGGUGGCUGUUCACCAUUUUGGAUUUGUUGUAAUGGACCUCUUUGGCGGCAAAACUUACUGUACUUUGAUCAGAUCAGUAAAUAUUAGUUUAUUACUAAGGAAACAUUCAUGAAAAGAUAUAAUUUGUGAAUGGGCGACUGAAAUGAUAUGCUGUAUUUUUAAGUUACCCCAGAAAAUGAUAAUGGUGCUAGAGGUUACAGUAUCUGCCCGAAUUGUCACUGAAAAUUUUGCGUAGUGUGUAGUUAUGCAAGACACUUCACUGCAUAUUGCGGUCUUCAGAUUCAUUUCAAAGAGCAAAUUGUAAAUGUGUUGCCUCUAUUUAAUGUAAUGCGUAAAAUGGAUUGUGAUUAUGAUCUGUGAAUUCAGUCUGUUCUACUCAUGUGUCUGACCUGCACUAAAGGUAUAUCCGAUGUCAUGAAUAAUUUGUUUAAAUAAAAAGAAAUUUGCAGUACA